GAUGAAGAACGCAGCAAAAUGCGAUAAGUAAUGUGAAUUGCAGAAUUCAGUGAAUCAUCGAAUCUUUGAACGCACAUUGCGCCCGCCAGCACUCUGGCGGGCAUGCCUGUCCGAGCGUCAUUUCAACCCUCAGGGCCCCUUCGGGGGACCUGGCGUUGGGGAUCGGCCCGCCCCCGUGCGGCGCCGUCCCCGAAAUAUAGUGGCGGUCUCGCUGCAGCCUCCCCUGCGUAGUAGCACACCUCGCACUGGAGAGCGGCGCGGCCACGCCGUGAAACCCCCAACUUCUGAAUGUUGACCUCGGAUCAGGUAGGAAUACCCGCUGAACUUAAGCAUAUCAAUAAGCGGAGGA
rnacentral:misc_RNA from 1 species